AUAGCUCUACUUUAAAAAUAAAAGAAACAUUCUUCAUUCAAUAAUUUUCGGUAGUUUUUGGUGGAGAGCCACAAUUUUUGGAGAUGCUACUUGUUGUCAAACGUUUGAGAAGCCCUGAUGAAAUGCAUGCUUAACAUCUUUUGUGUUCCCCCAACCCCCCGCCCCCUAAAUCCCUGCUGUCAAUCAAGUUAGUGACGUGUGAGAGGAAGAACUUGAAGUGAUGAAGACGAAGAGCGAAAGGUGAAAGCUCACAGACAGGCGCGCUCUGACGCCGACCAGCCGCGGGCGCGCGUACCACAGUGGCGGGAGCGCGUGGCCGGCCGGAAGUCAGGAACGGACGGGAAAGAGGGCGGGCCCACACGCGCCGCGGACGCAGAAAAACAAAAAAAAAAAUGGAAAAAGACCCAGUAGCGGCCCGGAGUGCUCCGCGCGCGCCGGCCCAGGCUGGAAAACAUGACGUCACGACGACCAAGUCUUUUUUUGUGUGUAUGUAUGCGGGCAACAGAGGAAAAAUAUAGUCCGAUGACGUUACUCGCUGUAGUAUGUAGUGCAUCUUCAUCACGUGACUACGUUUUCAACCACAGAGUUGAGAGGUCAACUCGACUUCAACUCGAGGGCUCCCCACGAAGCGUGUGUGUGUGUGUGUGUGGUGUGUGUGUGUGCGCCCGUUGUAGUGAAAACGUGUGUUUGUUGUAAACCAUUGUUGCCAUAAUAACAGUGUUCUCAGCAUGGGCCGAGGCCUUUAUUUCAUCACCUAACAACAUAAAGCUCAACAGCAAACUACUUCCAGAUUAUCUAGUUUAAACACACACACACACAUUCCUCAGCUUUGGUGUCAUGCAGUGCAGCUGGAGUCCAGACUGAUGGGCGGAGCUCUCAUGAGCUUUAUUGUCAAUAUUUCAAAAAGCAAAAAAAAU